UACAGAGGGUGCGAGCGUUAAUCGGAGUUACUGGGCGUAAAGGGUGCGUAGGCGGUUCAUCAAGUGAGGUGUGAAAUCCCUGGGCUUAACCUAGGAAUUGCACUUCAAACUGUUGAGCUAGAGUACAGUAGAGGGUGGUGGAAUUUCCGGUGUAGCGGUGAAAUGCGUAGAGAUCGGAAGGAACAUCAGUGGCGAAGGCGGCCACCUGGACUGUAACUGACGCUGAGGCACGAGAGCGUGGGGAGCAAACAGG
rnacentral:rRNA from 1 species